rnacentral:rRNA from 1 species
UACGGAGGGGGCUAGCGUUGUUCGGAAUUACUGGGCGUAAAGCGCACGUAGGCGGCCUGUUAAGUCGGGGGUGAAAUCCUGGGGCUCAACCUCAGAAUUGCCUCCGAUACUGGCAGUCUCGAGUGCGGGAGAGGUGAGUGGAAUUCCCAGUGUAGAGGUGAAAUUCGUAGAUAUUGGGAGGAACACCAAUAGCGAAGGCAGCUCGCUGGGACGGUACUGACGCUAAGGCGCGAAAGCGUGGGGAGCGAACAGG